rnacentral:rRNA from 1 species
UACGAAGGGGGCUAGCGUUGCUCGGAAUAACUGGGCGUAAAGCGCACGUAGGCGGCUUUUUAAGUCAGAGGUGAAAUCCUGGAGCUCAACUCCAGAACUGCCUUUGAUACUGGAGAGCUUGAGUCCGGGAGAGGUGAGUGGAACUGCGAGUGUAGAGGUGAAAUUCGUAGAUAUUCGCAAGAACACCAGUGGCGAAGGCGGCUCACUGGCCCGGUACUGACGCUGAGGUGCGAAAGCGUGGGGAGCAAACAGG